CAUCGUUCCUCCGGCAUAUCGGUUCGCGCAACCGAACAACCGUGAGCGAGUAACCCGAACCGCAGUAACCCCGGCAUCAUGUCCGGAAAACUGAAACAUAAAUUGGGGUAGUGAUUUGUAGGGCGCGGCAACGCGCAUCGAACAUCAUAGACCCC
rnacentral:ncRNA from 1 species